CUGAUGCAGCAACGCCGCGUGAGGGAUGACGGCCUUCGGGUUGUAAACCUCUUUUGGCAGGGAAGAAGCGAAAGUGACGGUACCUGCAGAAAAAGCACCGGCUAACUACGUGCCAGCAGCCGCGGUAAUACGUAGGGUGCAAGCGUUGUCCGGAAUUAUUGGGCGUAAAGAGCUCGUAGGCGGUUUGUCGCGUCUGCUGUGAAAACGCGAGGCUCAACCUCGCGCCUGCAGUGGGUACGGGCAGACUAGAGUGCGGUAGGGGAGAUUGGAAUUCCUGGUGUAGCGGUGGAAUGCGCAGAUAUCAGGAGGAACACCGAUGGCGAAGGCAGAUCUCUGGGCCGUUACUGACGCUGAGGAGCGAAAGCGUGGGGAGCGAACAGGAUUAGAUACCCUGGUAGUCCACGCCGUAAACGUUGGGAACUAGAUGUGGGGUCCAUUCCACGGAUUCCGUGUCGCAGCUAACGCAUUAAGUUCCCCGCCUGGGGAGUACGGCCGCAAGGCUAAAACUCAAAGGAAUUGACGGGGGCCCGCACAAGCGGCGGAGCAUGCGGAUUAAUUCGAUGCAACGCGAAGAACCUUACCAAGGCUUGACAUGCACCUGAAAAGGCUGGAAACAGUCUCCUCGCAAGACA
rnacentral:rRNA from 1 species